GUCUAUGGUGAUAUCACCUGAACCCUCCCAAUCUCAUCUGAUCUCGGAAGCUAAGCAGAGUCAGGCCUGGUUAGUACUUGGAUGGAAGAAUUUGUUAAAUAAAAUGUUGGCU
rnacentral:rRNA from 1 species